AUUAUUUUGACAGAAAAAUGUGUUAAAUUUAGAAUUUAAUUAUAUGUAAAAAUUUAAAUUACAUAAAUAAUA
rnacentral:tRNA from 1 species